AAUGUCAUACUUAAUGUUGGAACAUCUUACGAAACAUAAUAAAAUCAACAAGUAAAUAAACUGCACAUGAAAUUGUUAACCCAGUUCAGCCAACCUGCCUUCUCUGGGGGAUACCAAUCCAGGAAGGAAAUCCACUAAUAGCUCUAGUCACUAAGACCUCCAGCAAACCCUUUGAAUUUACGUCUUACACUAAGACCUCCAGCAAACCCUCGGUUUACGUCUUACACUAAGACCUCCAGCAAAUCCUAGGUUUACGCCUUAUGACCUCGACACUACUCAUGCAACUUCUGCCUAGGAACUCCUAGACAUGAGAUCCUAUCUCACUUCCACACAACCAAC
rnacentral:lncRNA from 1 species